rnacentral:rRNA from 1 species
UCCAAGUUUAAGGUGGUAGGCUGAAAUCUUAGGUAAAUCCGGGGUUUCAAGGCCGAGAGCUGAUGACGAGUCGUCUUUUAGAUGACGAAGUGGUUGAUGCCAUGCUUCCAAGAAAAGCUUCUAAGCUUCAGGUAACCAGGAACCGUACCCCAAACCGACACAGGUGGUCGGGUAGAGAAUACCAAGGCGCUUGAGAGAACUCGGGUGAAGGAACUAGGCAAAAUGGCACCGUAACUUCGGGAGAAGGUGCGCCGGCUAGGGUGAAGGAUUUACUCCGUAAGCUCUGGCUGGUCGAAGAUACCAGGCC